UACGGGGGGAGCAAGCGUUGUUCGGAUUUACUGGGCGUAAAGGGCGCGUAGGCGGUAGCACAAGUCAGUUGUGAAAUCUCCGGGCUUAACUCGGAAAGGUCAACUGAUACUGUGCGACUAGAGUGCAGAAGGGGCAACUGGAAUUCUCGGUGUAGCGGUGAAAUGCGUAGAUAUCGAGGAGGAACACCUGCGGCGAAGGCGGGUUGCUGGGCUGACACUGACGCUGAUGCGCGAAAGCCAGGGAGGCGAACGGG
rnacentral:rRNA from 1 species